rnacentral:tRNA from 1 species
GCUCCUGUAGCUCAGUAGGUAGAGCACGUGGCUGUUAACCACGUUGUCGCAGGUUCGAAUCCUGCCGGGAGCGCCA